GGUCCGUUAGCUCAGUCGGCAGAGCGUGGUGCUGAUAACGCCAAGAUCCUAAGUUCGACUCUCACACGGGCCA
rnacentral:tRNA from 1 species